UACGUAGGGUGCAAGCGUUAAUCGGAAUUACUGGGCGUAAAGCGUGCGCAGGCGGUUUUGUAGGUCUGUCGUGAAAUCCCCGGGCUCAACCUGGGAAUUGCGAUGGAGACUGCAAGGCUAGAAUCUGGCAGAGGGGGGUAGAAUUCCACGUGUAGCAGUGAAAUGCGUAGAGAUGUGGAGGAACACCGAUGGCGAAGGCAGCCCCCUGGGUCAAGAUUGACGCUCAUGCACGAAAGCGUGGGGAGCAAACAGGAUUAGAGUACCCGGG
rnacentral:rRNA from 1 species